CUCUCUCUCUCUCUCCCUCUCUCUCUCUGGACUCCAUACUCUUUCGCUCAGAACCCAGCCCCAAUUUUUUGAUUCUAGCCCCAAUUAUACAAAGAUCUUUGCAAAUCCAGUCCCAAAAACACAAUCUAAGCAAGAUGCGAAGCUCAACAACAUAGAUUUCAGCCUAGAUAUCCUUUGAUUUUCGAAAUCCCCAAAUCUUUCGAAAACCUAGGUUAGUUGCUUGGUUGAAGCGGUUGUUCAGAGGCUUAUAUGGUGUUCAGCUGGUGGUUCAGAGCACAACGAAUUAGGCCAAGAUGGUGGGAAACAAAUGGGUCUGAACUUUGAUAGAGUGAAUUUGUGUACAAGCAUAGAGAAGAUCGAGAUCUUUGAUUAGGAACUGCUGCACUGAGUUUGGGAGGUGCAAACUCUUCUACAACAACCGCUACUUGAAGAUUUGGAUGCUGCAGACCUCCAAUUCAAAGAUAUAGCUGCUGUGUUUUUUUUGUUAAGUGAUAAGAAUCAUCAAAUCACUAGCAGAUUUUUGUUCCUUUGAAUAUUUAUAGUUCCUAACUUCAAAUAGGUAAAUAUUUAAAUAGUUUAGACUUAGAAAUCAGUGACAUAUGAUUUGUGAACUUGUAAAUUGUAAUGUAGAACUGGAACAUUAUUAACUAUAGGAGAAAAGCUAAGAGAAAAACAUCAAGUCUAG
rnacentral:lncRNA from 1 species